CUAGAAGGAGGAAAAAAAAUACAAAAAACAUCAUAUAGGUAAAGGUAAGAAAUAAGGUGGGCCUGCAUGAUUAACACAAUAAAGACAUGGGCUAUGCUGAGGUACCCUCCUUUAUUUGGGGAAUAUUCGAACAUUCCAGGCCAAGUUGCUCCUGGCUUUUUGAGCUCUAAUUGAUAAACUCUGGGUCUUUUUAAUGGACUUUCAUGGCCUUUUUCACUUUCUACCCCGCUCAUGCCUAUUUUCCUGCCUAACAGAAAUAUCAGACAAUCAUUUGCUCAAAUGUUGGAGGCCUUGCAUGGCAUUCUCCACAUCUGGGCUUCCCUAUGGGGAAAUGGAAACAAAUACAUCUACCUUUAUGACUCUUAGCUGGAGGUAAGUGGUAAACAUACCUGCUAGACAAAGUAGAUUUCUUGGUAUAUAUGAAUGAGUGGCUGGGGAUAGGAAGUCUGUAUAGAUACAGAGUUCAGAGCCCCACUGAAGUUUUUGAACAUUAGUAAUUCUGCCCUCUCACCUGUUUAGCAUUUUUUUCUCUACCUCAUUUUCUUUCCUUGAUAGGUUUUUUUUGCUAUAUUCAUAAGGCAUCUACCUGUCAAUCCUUCCUUUGUGCACAGCUAAAGCAUUAUAGAAUUAGGCACAAUCUAUGAUUUAGUUCAUUGAUGGAUUGGAUUAUUUGUGCUGAAAAUUGAAGUUUGCUUUUGGUACAAAAACUCAGUUACCUGAGGUAAUUGGAUCAUUUCCCUCUCGCUCCAACCCCAAGCCAGUAUCUUCUUAUUUAAAAUAAUGUACAUGUAGAUAUGACUCAGAAUAAAUUCUGUAUUAAAAUUUAAUUUCUGCUCCUAUGGUUCUCAAGCUGACCCAAGGAGCUUUUCUUUCUGUCAGCUAUAUAUAUAAAUGGUAUUUACUGUAUGGGAAAUUAAAACUGAGACAUUUAAAAAAUAUUUAUAAAUUCAGUUAAAAAUAAAUAUGAAGGCAUUUUUGUUGAAAAAUAGCCAUGUGUACCAAAACCAAUUUAGUAAGGAAAGUGGCAUCCUUCCAUACUUGGGAAUCUCUUCAGUGCCUGCCUUAAUAGAAGACAGCUGGAUUCUUACCUGCUUCUGCAUCUAAUUUGUUGAACUGUCACACCUAUUAGUAAACUCCACUCCUAGUCUUGAGUGAGAGUGAGAGUGAAAAGGGAGAGUAACACGAUAGCAUUUGGUGAGAAUAAUUUUGACCCCAGUGUGUCCCUUCAAAGGGUCGUGGAGUUCCCCAGGGUUCGCAGGCCACUUUGAGAACUGCUGGUGCAGACUAUAAAGAACAUAACUUUACAUUAUUAUCAUAGGAAUGUUAAGGAAUGCGUGAUAGGAGUACUCUCCCUAGAUUUUAGAUGUAAGUCUCAACCCACAUGUGUAGGAUAGGAUUUAAUUAAUAAUAUAGUUACACUUAAUAACCAAAAGACAUAUAGCUUGCAUUUUAUAUAACCUGCUUAAACUUUAUAUAGCCUUAGACACAUAUCUAAAAGUCUAUUUAAUCUUACACACUUAAAGUAAAAAUCAUAGCCCACACGCUUAACCCACAUGCUGUCUUAUGCCAUUUUCUGUUUAGCACCUAGCACGUAGCUUACAUGAAUUACUAAUCACAAUAGACUAGGGGAAAGUUAAAAAUUAAAUGUUAAAUGGCUACUAGUAGAAGAAAUAAUGAUAUUUACUUAAGGGUAAUAAGCUGAAAUUAUGUAAACUGUCAGAAAAAGGAUUGUAUUAUUCAUGAUUAAAAAAUGUUUAACAUUAUGUAAACCUUAAAAAGACAUUAUAACAAAGACCCUGCGGCUUGACAUCAGGAGAUGUUACAACUUUAAUUGGGUGUUCCAUCUCCUCAUUCAUCUCACUUGCCGAUGCUGUCCUUUCCUUCGUGACCCACACCUCAGCUGGAGCUGGACUCCGGCAAGUGGCGCCCAUGGUGGGGCACGAAGGACCCAGAUACACCCGUGUGGGUACCAGACAAACUCAUCAGACAAGUCUCAACCACCACCUCCUCCCCCACACAACUUCCUGAGAUGAAGUGAAAGUCCCUGCCCAAGAAAAACCUUGAAGAACUUCUAGCACAGCAUUUAUAGAACCUCGCUCUGCAAGAUUCCUGAAAAGCUCGCCAGUCGCGACCAAGUUUUCCCUCCCGCAGCAGCAGCGAUUAGCAAGAUCAACUCCAGGAAGUGACCCUCUGACCUGAGACCAAAUAAAGAAGCUGAUGGAGAAAGCUGAAGCUGUAGAUCGCCUUCAGGGUUUGCCUAUUACUCAUAAAACUCUGUUUAUUGUUAUGCUUAGGUCCCACCCACAUUAACUAUAUCUCUAAAUGAAAAAUCUUUCCUACAGUCUGAAUUAUGGCGAGUUGUAGCUUCUGUCAGACCAGUAACACUGCAUAGACCCACAAAAAAAGCUGUUUAUCAAUUUCAAGCCUGUUUGUUAACUUUAUAUGCCUUUUUGCUAUUUCAAAAUUAUAUAUCUAUAAAUAUUAGCAAAAUUAUAGAUAAAUUCAUUAUAAAUUGUAAUAAUUGUACUCUACUUGUAUUUUUGUAAAACCUAAUGCAAAAGUCAUUUUUAUUGUGCACCAUCCCCCAUAUUUGAUAAUUUCUGUUGCUUUAAAUUCUAUGUAGUUUAAUGAUUAUGGGCUACAAGCACUUUGUGGUACCAGCACUCUCUUACUUUGGGAAAGCAUUUUGUGGCAACUUUCAUUCUUGGUAUUGCUGCACUCAUUACCUUAGCAACUUCCCUUUCUUUUUCAGCUGUAGCCCUAGUACAAGAGACCCACACUGCCGCUUACUGAUUAGUUGUCUAAAAAUGUAUCAUUGGCUUUAGCCACUCAAAAGUUUAUUGAUCAAAAAUUAAAGUCUAAAGUUAAUGCCCUUAAAGAGACCCUAUUUAUGGUCCUACUGUUUUUAUGCUUGUACAUCAGCCUUCUUAUGUUAUUCUUCCUGUAGUUUUAAAAGAGCCCUAGUAUAAUGAUCCAGAAAUACAAGUUCUUCAGUUUAUUAAUCAUGCUUUAAGCCACCCAAAGCAGUUUGUAGCUGCCUUAAUAUUAGGAAUCACUGCAUUAAUUACACUCAUCAGCUCAUUUGCAUUAUCCACUACUGCUUUAGUACAAGAAAUCCACACACCCAACCACGUAGACACUUUAAGCAAAAAUGUUUCAGUAGCUUUAUAUUUACAAGAGCAGAUUAAUUUAAAAAUUGAGGCAUGAAUUAAUGUUUUAGAAAAAACCCUGCUGUAUGUAGAAAAUCAAGUCCAAAAUUUAAAAACCCGCUUGAUCACCAAAUGUUACAGUCAGUAUAAUAAAUUUGCAUGACUCCCUACUUAUAUAAUUCCACUGAAACUUCUUGGGACAGUGUGAAAAAUCAUUUAUUAGGUAUUUGUGAUAAUUCUAAUACUUCUUUAAAUAUGGCCAAUUUACACAAAAAGAUAAGAGCUAUUAGUGAAACUCAUGUAUCCUCAGCCACAGCUCCUAAAGUUGCUAAUUCUUUCCUGGCUACCCUGUGACCAUAUACUACCCAUACUGCUUGGUUUCCCUUUUUUAUAAAUUUCAGAAUGUCAGCAUUAAUUAUACUCUCCCUUCUACUCCUUUUCCCAGUCUUCAUCCAACUGCUGAGCACAAGAAUAUGAAUAACCCAUUUGAAAUUGAAGAUGCUUCAAUUAGCUGCAAAAAAUAAAAAAGGGGGAGAUGGCGCAGGCCCCUCAUAGCUGGCCCCUGCUAAUUCCCGCACUUAUUUUUGCAGUUAUGAUGUUGGUGAUUGGGCUCAUAUAUGGGAAAUCUUAUGUACUUAAGAUUUAUUCAUCUUUAGUAAAUAACAUAACCCAAAAUAUUGACCAAAGCAGCAAUUCCGGAAAUGAAAGCAGUGUUAUGGGACCAACUGUUCCAGGCAUACUGCCGCAAAUAAGUGAGGCAGAACAGCCCGGGCCUCUCUUAAAACUAGAUGCAGUUUGUCCUCCCCUUUGUAACAAUUCAAACAUGACUAACCGGGAUUUCUUUAGAAUAUUGGCAGAGAAGGAGUUAUUGGAACCUAGGCCAUGGAAAAACCCAUUCUCCCAAGAAACUUAUAUGAAACAGCAAAGUAAUAAAGAUUAAUAGUCCCCACUGCCCAGGGCCCCCCUUAUGUUGCUUAUAAUAUUAGAAGACACCUCUGAUAACCCCCUCAUAGAAAGAAUUUAUGAGCAAAAUAAAAUUUAUAUUUACAAAUAUCCCAUAUAUAAAAGUUUAUGACAAAUUUAUAAAAUAUUAGUAUAUUAAUAGUAAGGUAAUAAGAGCAGAUUUAGUGUUAUUAUAUAAAGGAUAAAGAGGACUGCAAGGCCCUGGUGCCUGUAGAUGCAGGAGGAAAGGUGUAAACAUCUGAAAUUGUGGAAUGAAUAUUAUAAAAGAAUAAGGUGUUUUUAUUGUAUUCAUAUGAAUGUUAAGGAAUGGGUGACAGGAGUACCAUCCCUAGAUUUUAGAUGUAAGUCUCAACUCACAUGUGUAGGAUAGGAUUUAAUUAAUAAUAUAGCUACACUUAAUAACCAAAAGACAUAUAGCUUGCAUUUUAUAUAACCUGAUUAAACUUUACAUAGCCUUAGACACACACCUUAGACACAUAUCUAAAAGACUAUAUAAUCUUACACACUUAAAGUAAAAAUCAUAGCCCACACGCUUAACCCACACGCUGCCUUAUGCCAUUUUCUGUUUAGCACCUAGCACAUAGCUUACAUGAAUUACUAAUCACAAUAGACUAGGGGAAAGUUAAAAAUUAAAUGUUAAAUGGCUACUAUAAGAAGAAAUAAUGAUAUUUAAUUAAGGGUAAUAAGCUGAAAUUAUGUAAACUGACAGAAAAAGGAUUGUAUUAUUCAU